ensembl:lncRNA
CGGCCGCUCGAGGACGCCCCCGGGGGCCGUCUGAGGCCGCACGGAGGGUCCCAGCGCACUCCGCACGGAGAGGGUCCCAGGAUGCUCCGCGCGAAGCCGGCGCGGUGCCGCCCGACGCCCGACGCACUUCCGGGCGCAAGCGACGCUCUUGGCGGCCGAGCGCGGCCCGAGACCCAAAGCCGCCCGUGCGCACGUGGGAUGGUGCGUCCCCCAGACCGACCUGAGGCAGAGCGUCGGGGGCUUGAAGGGCCCCUUCUUGUUCUCACUGGAAGCAGGACCCCGAGACUGGAGGAGAGAAUGAGGGCUCAGAGUGAGGCCUGCCCUGUCAGAGUGGAGUCAGUAAGCUCCUCAGAGCAGAGCCGGGUGGGAACAGAGCUGCCAGCACCCAACAGAGAAGAGAUGUGCUAACCCAGGGCCACAUGCUCCCUGGCCUGCUCUGCUGGAGGAGCACAUGGGGAGCAAAACUGAAGAACAAUUUUAUGAGAUUCUUGUGACUGCCCUCUCUCCCUCCCUUCUUCCCUCCGUUUCUAUUUUCUCUCCUUUGAAGUAGCAACCAUCCUUGCCUUAGACAAUUUCUCUCACAGGCCAUACAUCCUCCAGAGAUUUCUCUCAGGGUCAAUAAAUAGUAGUAGCUCCCAUUCCUAGGCCCAGUGUGCUUUUUUAUCUCGCUCUAACUUUCCUCUAGUCAAG